rnacentral:rRNA from 1 species
AAACCAGCACCUCAAGUGGUCAGGAUGAUUAUUGGGCCUAAAGCAUCCGUAGCCUGCUCUGUAAGUUUUCGGUUAAAUCUGUACGCUUAACGUACAGGCUGCCGGGAAUACUGCAGAGCUAGGGAGUGGGAGAGGUAGACGGUACUCGGGAGGAAGUGGUAAAAUGCUUUGAUCUCUCGAUGACCACCUGUGGCGAAGGCGGUCUACCAGAACACGUCCGACGGUGAGGGAUGAAAGCUGGGGGAGCAAACCGGAUUAGAAACCCGUGUAGUCC